rnacentral:lncRNA from 1 species
AGCAACGCAUGCUUCUCUCUCUUUCUCAGGUUCCGUACGGCAUCCACGGUAAAAAAAAAAUAGACCAGCCUCUUCUCUGUUAAGGUACAGGUCUUUGAAAGGCCUUAAACAAGAGUUUAAAUCUAAUUAGAUUAGGUUUAGGUCUUCUAAACAAGCCAAAUCAAGCCCUUAAACCAUCGGAUCAAGAUCGAAAACAAUCUGAACCAUCCGAUCACGAUCGAUCUACG